rnacentral:rRNA from 1 species
AUGGCUCGCUCGAUCGAGUCGUUGCUGGACCUCUCCACGAUGACGAUCGAGGAGGCGAUAGGCCGUCUCAAGGUCGUCGACACCGACGAGCCACAGCCUCCCUCGGGGCCCAUCACCACCGGUGGGAAGCUGCUCCUAACUCGGGAGCAGUGGGAUCCCAGCCCUGGUGACAGGAAGAAGGGGGAGCCUUCUUCCACGACGGGCGGCCGCAAGCGUGGCAAGCAGCGCAAGGCGCGAAGAGGCCCCCCGGGCAAGGCACAAGGACGUGCCGAAGGUGACGCCCGCGGAGGCGCCAAGGACGGCGCCGCUGGCAAGCCCAAGCCGGCACAGGAUAACAGUUGUCACAACUGUGGCCGGCUUGGCCAUUGGGCCAAUGAGUGUCGACAACCCCGACAAGGCCAGGCUCACGUCGCACAGGCGAAGGAGGAGGAGACAGCUCUGUUCAUGGCGCAUGCAAGCAUCGAGCUAUCUUCAGCGACACCAAUCACAAAGGCUCCCCUCCACCUCGACGAGCCAAAAGCACACGCUCUUCUUGGCGAUGGCUCCGGGAAGGACAAGACUGAGGGGUGA